rnacentral:lncRNA from 1 species
ACCUGAGUGUCUAUGGACAGACAGUCUCCUCACUCUACCCUUCCAGCCUUCCUUCUCUCUUUUUAUAGAUACUAAUAUACUUAGCCCAAGGUCUGGCUAAUAACCUUUACUUGCUCCAAUAUCCAUUUCACCCUGCGCACAUGCCGGUGAUGGUAGAGGCUAAAAUGAGAAGAGAGCAUUUGGAGAUGAGAAUCAGCUUAAAGACAAGAGCAACAUUACUCACAGAGCUCCAGUCUUGAUACACUAACAGUACUUGGCUCUCAUAAGAAUGACGUCAUUCGACUAGCUAAUGAUAGUUCUUUAAAUACCUCCUUCUCAUUCCAGCAACAAUCUAAUGGCCUCUCUUUAGUCUUCAUGGAGUCCUUCCAGUAUGAUGACACUCUUCCACAAUACAUGUAUGUUGAGAAGUUCAAAAGAUAUCAUUUUUAGUUGGCCACUGCUGUUCACUCUCACUGAGGAUGGGAUUAUGUUGGUCUACAGUGUCUAUAAUGCUAUGAUCAUUGUUGCCAUUCAUCCACUGGAAUACUGUAGAAUGUUUUUAGCUAUAACACUCCAGGUGUCAAUGUAUUGUAGUUGAAGAGGUGAGUCUCUUAAUUCAUUGGAUCAAUGUUCCCUCCCACUCAAUGCACUGGAGACUGGAACUGAGACAUAGUGUCAUUCUUCCUUA